GAGAGGUUAGGUCAUUUGCCUAAGGUCAACACAGCUGCCAACUGGAGAGCAGGGUCUAGAAUCCAGGCCUUCUCCCCCAUGUCCAAGGCUUUUUCUGUCCCCCCAUUUUCUUACCAGGGAAAGAACAGGGCGGGAGUCCUAGUGUGCCCUGCGAAUAAGCCUGGGCUAGCCUGCGGCAGGAUGACAGACUGUGGAGGAGAGCCCAGAGGAGUCUCCGGGCCAUCAGAUGCGUCUCUGUGGCCAUCCUAGACCAGCCAACUCCAAAACCUAUAAGAGAGCCCUGUCCAGAAGGCAGAGCUGACUCCCCAGCCUACAGCUGAUUGACGAGAUGCAUGAGGAAUCCCAGCUGAGACCAGAAGAACCAUCCAGCUAUCCCUCAGACUUGUGAGUCUUAAUAAACACUUAUUAUUUAA